rnacentral:lncRNA from 1 species
UCAACCAUUAGGUCAAACGUUAACAAACAAGGCAAAAGGGCUAAAACUCACCUCAAGAGAAGAAAUCUCUUCCAAAGCUCCAAAAGAGAGCUAGAACCCUUCCAAUCCAAGCCCAAGGAAGGUUCUAAACCAAAGAAUCUAGCCUCAAAAGCCCAAGAUUCAAAAUGCCCAAAGUUAACCCUAAAAUCCCAUUCUAGGGUUCCACCUACUAAAAAUCCUCAAAUCAAGAUCUAGAGGAAGGAAAUGAGCAACUAACCUCCUUAGAAGCUCCAAUCCAAGCUCCAAGGGUGAAGAUCUUCUCUCUUGCAAGCUCCAAGUCCAAGCCUUCAAGCACCAACGAAGUAGAGAGGGUGAGGAAGAUGCCCCAAGUCCACUAUUGCUCUCAAUCUUCUUCUUCCUUCCUUCUUCUCCUUCUCCUUCUUCUUCUUCUUCUCUAUCAAGGGUGUGGAAAGAGUUGAGAGAAGAGAAAUGAGGAGAAGAGAGAGUGGAUGGGUCAUAUAGACCAUCUAUUGCAACAAAAUCCAGCUAGGUUCCUCAAAAAUACAAAAUUGCAUCAGCCCGGUCUGGGCAAUUUUCGCCCAGAGGGACCGGUCUCUCCCCAGCAGGGACCGGUCUCUCGUGUCGCACCCGAGAAACCGUCGUUCGGGAACCGGUCUCUCCCUGCGCGGGACCGGUCUCUCACUGCGAAGACGCGCUCGGGGACCGGUCUCGCCCGCCAGGGACCGGUUGCCUCGCCGACAGCGCAACACUGCUCACUGGGGGACCGGUCUCUCCUACCAGGGACCGGUCCCCGAGAGUGAAAACUCUCAGGACUCGUCCAAAACUCGAGUUUUCGAACUUUUUAGGUCGGAAAACAUUCUACGACCCUCCACCAAGUGUGGAAGAGCUCGAAACACAUCCAAUCACUCGAACCUCGCAAUUUGCAAAGGUCCAGUGUGCUACACUCUCUUUCCUCACUAUAUGCCCAAGCCAAGUUUUUUCUCUCUGUGCUUGCAAAAUCAUGGUCGAAGUAGUUUGAGUCGGCGGCUUUCCUAGGAUUCCUUCAUCUGGGAUCCCUAGGGAAGAGGAUCAAGUUUGCUCGUGCAAAUAGCUUGAUGCACUGUCUUCUUUCCAUUCUUUGAGCGAAAUGUGGCAAAAUGAAGGAAACUAAAGAUUGUGAGGCCUUUCUACUACAUCAUAAUAAACUGGAAUUAGAUCUUGGAAAUGAUCGAUCCAAUAGAUGCUCAUCAUAAGCUUUUUUUUUCCCCUCCUAUUCGUAUUAAUCAAGUAAGCUAGGAAUUAUUUAUAUAAAGUAAGGCAUAAUGAUAGACUUUUGAGAAUAAGAAAGAAAGAGAAUGAGAAUAAGAAUAGACUCGUCUUCAGCCUUGAUGGCUGCAAGCGAAAUGGCUGCUCCCUAAGAAAGAGGUUUUCUCCUUAGGAAACCCCCUCACUUCUUUGCUACCGCUCAGGGAAAGCUUGAUUCGGGCUUGGGAGUAUGGAGAAGGCUGAGAGAACCAAAGAGAAGCUCUAGAAAGGAGAAGACAAGUACCAACCUAUAUUUCUUUGCUUGGAGAGGAAGAGGUGAGAUGAAGUUUUAGGGUUUGAUUUUUAGAGGUUUUCUAAAUGGAAGAUUUAUAUAGAGAGUCUACUUUGGUUAGGACUCUCUCUUAAAGAUAUCUUGGGGUUAACUAAAGAGAUCAAGAACCUGCUAGAUGUAUGCUCUAGAAGCCAACCAGGCCGACACAAAUAUUCUUUCUAGGACAUAAAUUUGUAUUUGAUUUUAAAAUAUUAUGAAUAUAUUUGGGUUUUUAUUUCCAUUCAUGUUGUGUAUGUGUCCAUGAAUCGUCCAAGGAAUUAAUAAGAUGAUGACAUAUAUUCUCAAGAGUUGAGAAUUUGAGACAUGUGUCAUUGAUGGUUAAUUCCGAAAUGCUCCCGAUUAAUGGAUCAUCACGGAGACAGUGAUUGAACCAGUGAGAUUGNUCGGUAAUCACUUUCUUUUUCCUUCGAUUUGUAAGUAUUCAUUAUACUAAGUAAAAUCUAGUAUAUGUAACGUAGGUAGAGAAUGUAAAUCCUAAGAAACGUAAAGUAAUGUAUUAAAGUAGUAAAGAAAGAAUGUAGUGUAAAUGGAGUUUUAUUCGAAAUGUAAAAAAAGAGAUGUAGUAAAUGGUAGUACAUGUUUUCUACUAGUAUCCCAUGAAAUGAUGUUUUACUUUGGGUUAAAACCACCGGAGACUGAUUCCGCGCUAUGGAAAUGGAGCCAGCGAGCGGCCGAGCGAGCCAGGGCCGAGACACCUUUAUCACCCCACUCUUGAUGUUGUUUCAAGGGUCACCCAAGCCGGAGUUGUAGUGGCUGAAAGGGUGAUCCUGAUUGAGUCCGUAUUAUCUUUCUUAUUCAUUGCUUACCCUCGUGUAAGCCGUUUGUGUAUGUUUCCGCUAGUGCUUUUCUCUUUUGAUGAAAAUGUACAUGUGAUGAGCCUUGGGCGGAUAGGAAAAACUCUGUCCGUUCGGCGUCUGUUUGACGUGCUCGGGUCGGGCCAAAUUGGCGUCGGUCCCGGGGCGUGACAAGCUGAGUUGCAUUUUUGCUUAAGUGCUGAAGUUUUGGAUGCAGGUUCUGCGCAUCUAGAAGUUGGGUCCGAAUUGGUAUGAGGGCUUUUUGGUGAUCAGUUCGAGCUCAAUUUUGGUGAGGAACCUAGAGAAUUUAUCUUUAGUCUUUUGAGGUGAGUUGGAUAAAGUUUCACUGCAUUUGGACUUCGAAAUUGGGUUAAAUUCCAUGUUGGAACCUUGUAGGCUGAAGCUGCCAGCUUGCUGUUCUGGAUCCUUGAUCUGGGCGCCCUGAAGUUGCUGCAGGAGGAUCCAGAUCUGGACAACAGCCUGGUUUAGCUUGUUUUGAGGCUGAUCUUUUGCAAGGUUUUCUCCAUCGACUUCUAGCCAUUGUUGGACUAGCAUUUCAGGUGGAUUGAUAUUGUCCGAAGCCUUCAGAAUGACUCCUAAGCAUAUGAAAUCCCAGCAUGCAUAGUUUUACAUAUACUCAUCUUGUUUGAUAGCUCAAAUUGUAGAUUUACAUGUUAUUAAUGAAAUCUAAAUUUUGGAGCAUACUUAGUUAAUUUAUGAUGAUUAUUAUCUGCUGAACUGGGAUUUGACUUAGGAGAAAACUUAUUAAACCUACACCUGUCACUUUUCGAAAAGUUACCAGAUUUAGCUUUAGGAGCUGAUUUUUCUUGUGUAUCGCCGCUAUUAGUGCGUCGUGGAUACUUAGACUAGUGUAGGUUGAGAUUAUGCUCGUGCUGAGGGACCGAGCUCGUUUUUACAGCAGAGAUAGGCUGUUUUGUACUAUCGAGUAUCGUCGGGGCUGACAGUGGACCCAAAUUCUUACAUCUUGUAUCAGAUUGUGCCAAGGGCACGUGAGCCUUGGUUGUUAGACCAGUUUAACCCAUUUGUAUUGACUAUAGCCUGUGUGAGCUUGAUUUUGCUUGUGAUGCAUGUAUAUGUCUACAGAGAGCAUGUUAUGGAUAGCGAUAGUAUAGUGGCUUUUAGUUGUAGAGUUUUUUUUAGCUUAAUUUACUAUCCCUUUACCUAUCUGUUUACUUCUCGUACUGUAGACUUAGUGGGUAGGCCGAUGGGGUCGGUGACGGUACCCACUGAGGACUACUCUAUUUUGCAAUAGUUCUCACACCCAUUGUUGCCAUUUUUUCUUUGCAGAGCCUUCAGUUGCUGCUGCUGCUACUGCUGAUUGAGGUAAGGGAGUCACGGACUAGAUCUCUAUCCUUUCCGGUCACCUUACCAGUGGAGUACCCAUGCCAGAGGUAGUUUUGGAUGUUCCCAUGUACAUACAGUUGUAUUUAGCUUUACUCUCUGAGAGAUGUGGAUGUAUUUUGGAUGUUGGAUAGUCAGGGUUAUAUUUUGGAAUUUGUAUGUACAGUGGGCCUUUGUAUGUAUAUAUAUAUAUAUAUAUAUAUAUAUAUAUAUAUAUAUANCAAAAGGAGUAAGCUCUAUCAAAGCAACCCAGUAUACUAUGAUGCAAUGAAUGAAACAAGCAAGUAUACUAUAUAUCCCAAUGCUAUAUCAUGAGCAUGUCAAGUAAUCCAACUACUAAGCCUAUCUAGUAGUGAUUAGUCAUUCUCAACACUGUGUCGAUUUCUAUUUUCAAUUAAGGACCUACCACAGGUAGCACAGCUUGUGCCGCCUAAGUGCCUGUGGUAGCCCAAAAUCCCUACUCUUGGAAUGUGUCUGUCCCACUCGACCCCGUAGGCUUCUCAAUACCGUACGAGCGAACAUAAGUCGCGUAGGCUAACUCCGGAGUGCCGGCUUGUAGGGAGCGACCCUCACAAGCAUGUGCGAAUGAGCACAAAUGGCAAGCAAGCGUAGUCCAAGUCUCAAGUAUCCAAUCCUCAUGUCUCUAACAUGGUAUAGUCACUAGCAUCUCGAAGAUCUAGUUCUAUGUCACAAAGUGAAGUUCCAAUGUUCUCUAGGUCUAGUGCCCCUUUAUGACGCUUAGACAUUCAAUAUUUAAGCAUGUUCCACGUUCCUCAAUGGCCCUAUCCACUAGGUUCACACAUGUCCCGAGCUCAACGCUGCUUGAUGACAUUAGCGCUCUAAUUCACAUAAUGUUCUACUCCGAUGCCCCCACAUGGCAAUUUUAUUACCUUUCAUGUCUCAAUUAAACUUAGGUUUAAAAUGCAUGAAUCGAACUCAUUUUCUUUAAAAGGAACAUGGCCCAACAUAAGAAUGCUAAGCAAUCAACAUAAGCUUCAUAUGCAACUCUCUACGAUAUAGGAGUCCAAAAUUGCACUAUAUGUAACAUAGGCAUUUUAAACAUUCUAAAAUUCACAAUAAAUACAUAUAACAAGAAUAUGCAUGCUUUUUCAUUUUACAACGCUUAAAUCAUCAACAAGGAGGUUUUCUCAUUGUGUGGCUAGGUCAAACCCACCGAGCCUCGCGUAGUGCCUCGAUUCGCCGAACGGAGUUGUCCACGAGUCUCCAAAUACUCUAAAAGUAUUCAGCGAAGAGAUACAAGGGCAUUACGAUCAACCAUUAGGUCAAACGUUAACAAACAAGGCAAAAGGGCUAAAACUCACCUCAAGAGAAGAAAUCUCUUCCAAAUCUCCAAAGAGAGCUAGAACCCUUCCAAUCCAAGCCCAAGGAAGGUUCUAAUCCAAGAAAUCUAGCCUUAAAAGCCCUAGAUCAAAAAGCCACAAAAUCAACCCUAAAAUCCCAUUCUAGGGUUCCAUAUGGUAAAAUCUACCAAAACAAGGAUCGAAGGGUAGAAUCAUAGUACUAACCUCUCAAGAUGCCUCCAAACAAGCUCCAAAUCUUCUAGGGUUGAAGAUUGGUCCACCACCAAGCCCUACAAGCAAGCUCCAAGCCUUGCAAGGGUGGAAAGAAGAGAAAGGGGUUGAGCUCCAAGCUCCCUCAAGCAAGCUCCUCUUCUUCUUCUCCUCCUUCUUCUUUUUCUCUCUCUA